rnacentral:rRNA from 1 species
GUUUACAGCCAUGCCACUCUGACAAGCCCGAUCCCGUCUGAUCUCGGGAGCUAAGCAGGGUCAGGCCUGGUUUGUACUUGAAUGGGAGACCACCUAGGAAGACUAGGUGCUAUAGGCA